GUCUAGUCUAUGUGUUCUCUGAUUAGUGUUGCCAACUAAGACUAUCUUGAUAACUCACAAAGAGGAGCUUCAACUACUGUCGUAAAACUCGUGUAACGAUUAUUCUCUUAAUGUUCUCCCAUCUCUAACUUUGUUGUGUAUUUAUACUAUUUUUGUUUAAUGCUGUCAAAUAUGAAUUGACAGUGUAUGAUGAGAAAUUGUUCUGCUAUUGUGCAUUUAGUCAAACAAGGAAACAGUACUAUGAAUUCUCUAGAGGAGCAGCUAAAGCAAUUAACGAUAUUGAAUAGAAGGUGCGAUGAUGCACAUAUGAAAACCGGAAAAGUCGCAGCUUUAGUUAACAAUUUACAACAGAAAGCUGAUGCUGCUCAAAAUACCUCCGUUUUCAGUAAGUCGAGGACGGCACCAACCAUACCACCGAAGCCAUUCAAAAAGACAGUUGAUAUGCCUCAGGUGCCCCUUAGCAAACUAGUUACGGAUGCCCGAGAACCACUUUUUUCACAGCCACUACUUAGUGGAUCGAACCUUCUAAUCAAGCAGCCCAUUUAUGCUAGUAAAAGUGUUGAUAAAAUUGGCAAUAGCCGAACAACACUGGACAACCCAGCUAUAUUGGAACAGCAAUUAGAAGCUUUAGCGUACCAUAAACAGCAAAUGGAGAAAAAGGGACUAUUGGGUGCGCAGAGUCUACAAAUUGCUGAACAUGCCGAAAUCAUUCCGAAACUAUCCUCCACAUCUCUAAGUGGCCACUUUUCCAGGCAGAGUGCAUCUAUUUAUAGCAAUCUACAACACUCUUCGGAGUGUCUAGCUAACGAGUCGAAAUCUGUAUUCAUGCAACCAAAUGAUUCUUCUUCCAAUGUCCAAAAUACAUUUACACGAAAUGAUAAGGAAUUAGAAGAAGACUUACCGCCGCCUCCUAGUCCAGUUAGCUCAUCUUAUAGUGAGCUGCGAAGAGCUAGUGACGUCUUUGACAAAGCGGGCGACUCACAUGGGAAAAAUCCAAAUGAACCAAUGGCAACAUCCAGGGUAAACCUUGCCAAUCCAUAUGCUACUCAAAACAAUUAUCAAAAUAAGACUUGUGGCGACUAUUUUGCCUAUGGUGCAUUAUCCCAGAGUUCUUCAACAUAUGAUUCGAUAUAUGAACCCAUAAACCCACGUCCAGCUGUCGAUAUAUCGUCGCGUACUGCGAAUUGUAAUGCAUAUACUACAUAUGUAAAUCAGCGCAUUAUGUCAACCAGCAAUUGGAAUAAACUGGGGUUAGAACAAAGUGGAAGUGGAACAAAUACUCCCAUAUACUGCAACGACGAAGCUAAAGUAGAGGCUAACAUUGGAUUUUCAAAAAUAAGUGAAAAUGAUGAGCACUUGAGUCAAUAUCACUUGUCAACAAUUGAUUCGACUAACGAAGUGGAGAGCUACGGUCGUUGCUUCAAGUGUAAUGAACGCGUGCUCGGCGAAAGUAGUGGAUGCACUGCCAUGGAUCAAAUAUAUCACAUUUCAUGUUUCACAUGCACUGAAUGUCAACUUAACCUACAGGGCAAACCAUUUUAUGCACUAGAAGGACAACCAUUUUGCGAAUACGACUAUUUGCAAACACUUGAGAAGUGUUCAGUUUGCUUAAAGCCAAUUUUGGAGAGAAUUUUAAGAGCCACGGGCAAACCCUAUCAUCCACAAUGUUUUACUUGCGUUGUCUGUGGAAAUAGUUUGGAUGGAAAUUUGCUCCUCGUUGCUGUGUUUGUCAGGAGCCAAUCAUGCCGGAGCCCGGACAAGAAGAAACUGUAAGGGUCGUUGCCCUUGAUCGAAGUUUUCAUCUAGAAUGCUAUAAAUGCGAGGACUGUUCCCUCUUAUUGUCAUCCGAAGCCGAUGGUCGCGGCUGCUAUCCCUUAGAUGAUCAUGUGCUGUGCAAAAGCUGUAACGC
rnacentral:misc_RNA from 1 species